GGGCGUCACCGGGGGUGUCCCGCGCUCAUGCGGGACUGAGAAAUACCCCAGGAACCUGAUCCAGUUCAUGCUGGCGGAGGGAGCGUGACCGCGCCGUGAA
rnacentral:ncRNA from 2 species